UAGAGUUUGAUCCUGGCUCAGGACGAACGCUGGCSGCGCGCCUAACACAUGCAAGUCGAACGAGAGAUGAGGAGCUUGCUCCUCAGAUCGAGUGGCGAACGGGUGAGUAACGCGUGAGGAACCUGCCUCAAAGAGGGGGACAACAGUUGGAAACGACUGCUAAUACCGCAUAAGCCCACGGCUCGGCAUCGAGCAGAGGGAAAAGGAGCAAUCCGCUUUGAGAUGGCCUCGCGUCCGAUUAGCUAGUUGGUGAGGUAACGGCCCACCAAGGCGACGAUCGGUAGCCGGACUGAGAGGUUGAACGGCCACAUUGGGACUGAGACACGGCCCAGACUCCUACGGGAGGCAGCAGUGGGGAAUAUUGCACAAUGGGGGAAACCCUGAUGCAGCGACGCCGCGUGGAGGAAGAAGGUCUUCGGAUUGUAAACUCCUGUUGUUGAGGAAGAUAAUGACGGUACUCAACAAGGAAGUGACGGCUAACUACGUGCCAGCAGCCGCGGUAAAACGUAGGUCACAAGCGUUGUCCGGAAUUACUGGGUGUAAAGGGAGCGCAGGCGGGAGAACAAGUUGGAAGUGAAAUCCAUGGGCUCAACCCAUGAACUGCUUUCAAAACUGUUUUUCUUGAGUAGUGCAGAGGUAGGCGGAAUUCCCGGUGUAGCGGUGGAAUGCGUAGAUAUCGGGAGGAACACCAGUGGCGAAGGCGGCCUACUGGGCACCAACUGACGCUGAGGCUCGAAAGUGUGGGUAGCAAACAGGAUUAGAUACCCUGGUAGUCCACACCGUAAACGAUGAUUACUAGGUGUUGGAGGAUUGACCCCUUCAGUGCCGCAGUUAACACAAUAAGUAAUCCACCUGGGGAGUACGACCGCAAGGUUGAAACUCAAAGGAAUUGACGG
rnacentral:rRNA from 1 species